GGAAAACCGGAAAACUGAAGGAGAAUCAGGAGAUAAAACCAGAACCGGUCAACCAGAACACAGACUUCCUGGUUCUGAUCAUUUAAAAUCAACCAGUCGGGUCCAGAAUCCUGUUACUCCUGAACCUUUUCUGAUCUCUGGGUCACCAGCAGAACCUGGUUCGGCUCUAGUCCAGGUUCUGUCGUUUGAUGACAAUUAAUUGGAAUAAAAACUGUUAUUAAGGAUGGAUGGAUGAAGAGACGGAUGGAUGGGUCUGAGUUUGGUUGGAUGAACAGACAGAUGGAUGGGUCUGAGUUUGGUUGGAUGAACAGACAGAUGGAUGGGUCUGAGUUUGGUUGGAUGAACAGACGGAUGGAUGGGUCUGAGUUUGGUUGGAUGAACAGACGGAUGGAUGGGUCUGAGUUUGGUUGGAUGAACAGACGGAUGGAUGGGUCUGAGUUUGGUUGGAUGAACAGACGGAUGGAUGGGUCUGAGUUUGGUUGGAUGAACAGACGGAUGGAUGUUUCUGAGAAAUCCUUCAUUUCAGGAUCAAACUUUGAGAUUUCUCUGAUUUGUGAUCCGUUUUCUCGGAGGCCCAGAGCUUCACAGGAACCGAGGACGAGUUCUGGGGAUUCAUCUACGACUGAAGGUUCUGCGGGACGGACGGAUUGCUCUGAUGGUUCUGUUCUGGGUCUGUCGCUGAGACCGUCCUGGCUCCACCGUCUCCAUGGUAACAGUUUUUUAUUGGCUGUUGCAGCUUGGAGACUUCCUGCUGUUUUCAUUCCUGAAGUUCUGGACCAACAGAACCACCUUUGAACAUGUCUGGUUCUACCAGAACCCAACUGGUGCGGUCCAUCAGAGCCUUCCUGAUUUCAAUUCUUCUUCUGUGGUUCUGUUUUUACUCUGAUGUCUAACAGGAACCACUGGACCGGAUGAAGGACUGAAUACGACCGGUACCGCUCAGCUUAUUGUCAUCUAUUCUAACUAUUAAAACAUUUCAUCACUGAUAGUAAGUUGGUGGUUUUGGGUCAGAACUUUUCCCGGGUUUCUGUGUAAAGUGAAGAAUCGGUGAAGUCAUGGUUCUGGGCAGAACUCGGACCCGUCCAUGAGUUUUUUCAGGCUUUAUGGGAGUUUCUCCCUCGGAUGUGACUGUCAGGCGCUGAAGAACCACCUGAACCACAGGAGCCAGUGACCCGGUUCUGGACCGAAACUGAGCGGUUCUGAAGUCGAGCGGUUCUGGACCGAAACUGAGCGGUUCUGAAGUUGAGUGGUUCUGGACAGACAGCUGAGUGGACAAGGUCCAGAGAAGAACCUGGAGGAGUAUCAGGAAGUCUCCAUGGCAACGAGACAGGUCCAACCUGAUCACGUGACCUGUUGACUGACGGGUCAGAAGGUUAAAGGUCAGGCCUGAGCUACUAAACGGCGAGGUCAGAGGUCGAGCUGUUCAAUGACGGUGAUGAAGACGCCUCCUCUUCCUCUCUCUUUGUAGCUCCGUGUCUCUGAUGUGAGGCACUCGGCGAACUCGGAGCUCCGGUCCAGAUUAAAGGAGAGGAGGCCUCCUUUAUUUUUAGACCUUCAUGUUUAAUGGAUGGACCCGCCUCCUCCUCGGGCCGCCGCCUCGUCGCCGUGGAAACCUGCAGGAAGCAGAGAGGAGCUGUCACGCCAUCCUGCUGCCGAUGGAGACGAGUCAGACCUGGAGGGGAGGAUUCGAGUCACCAAAGCACCUGAGGAAGGGAUGAUCUGAGUGGGACCUGGAGUCCGAGUCGGUUCUGAACUGAACCAUCCUAGUCAGACCUGAAUAGGAUGGAAAAAAUGAAACGAGUCAGACCAAGACAUGAACAAGUUAUCCAAGUCAAAUCUAACCAAAUUAUCCAAGUCAGACUUGUAUAGGACAAAAAAAUAAUCCAAGUCAGACCUAGAUGAUAUAAACAGAAUCAUCCAAGUCAGACUUGGUUGGGAUCAGUCAAGUCAGACUGAGUUUUAUGGUUCUGAGCUGGAGAGUUCCUCCGAGUCCAGCAGGUCCGGUCUGGACCAGCAGUUCCUCCGAGUCCAGCAGGUCCGGUCUGGACCAGCAGUUCCUCCGAGUCCAGCAGGUCCGGUCUGGACCAGCAGUUCCUCCGAGUCCAGCAGGUCCGGUCUGGACCAGCAGCUCCUCCGAGUCCAGCAGGUCCGGUCUGGACCAGCAGCUCCUCCGAGUCCAGCAGGUCCGGUCUGGACCAGCAGCUUCUUCCUUGUGACUUUUUGAAACUUUGCAGGUCUCAGUAGAACUUUGGGCUGAUUUCUGUUUGAUUAUUGAUCCCAAACUGUUUGGAUGUUUUUGAUUUUCCUGUAUUUGAUCAGAAUUGUAUUCUAGUUUUUUCUGGAUUCUGUUUAUUCCACAUCCUGGCCUCACAGUUUAACGGAGUGAAAUCAGAUCAGAUUAUCCUCUAAACUCGUUCAUGUUCCGGUUUACAAAUCAACACAAACUGGAUUAAACGCAAAGUGUUCACACAGUUUGGACCCUUUAUUACAAACAAUAAUUACAAACAAAACUUCAGAUGAUUUUAUCAGGACUUUAUGUGACAGUUAAACACAAACUAGUAAAGUGAACAGCCUGGAACAUGAUAAAGUUAUUUAAUAUUUUACAAAGAGAAAAACUGGCAUUAAUUGUAAAGUUACUGAGAUUUCAAUAGGAGGAUAAAAUCCUUCCUGUUUUUUCUGAAAAAUAAAAUCAAUCAGUUUAGUUUGAAUCAAAGGAAAUAAAAUUCAAGUUGAGAAAUUUGGAUUUAAAACUAUUUAUAAACAGUUUGUGAUUGAAAUAAAAAACUGUUAUAAAGACUCAGAUGUGCAGAGAUGAAAGGACCUUUAAGGUCAUCCAUUCCCUCUCCAUUCAUCAGAACCAGCUGAUCAGAACCGGGUCAGAACUCUGAAGCAGCUGCCUGAACAUUAAAUGGACCUGAAGAACGACUGCAGACAGGAACCGGACUCGGUUCUGCUCCAGCCCGCGGUGAGCAGCUCGGGGUUUAUCCGCCCCUCUGCCGCGGUUCUGGCCCGGCUGGAUGUGAUUACUGCUCAUGUCAGAUUUCAUCGGAUCGGGACAACAUGCUCAUCAUUAAUCUACAGCUCAAAUCUGGUUCUUGGCAGCCGGAACCAGAAACACACACGGGCCGGGAUAAACGGACGGGCGGCCAGCGCUGGCUCCAGCAUCAUCGCCUCGCUGGCCGUUGCCAUGGUUACAGACAGGACUGCAACCCGGGAGCAUGCAGGGUAAAGCUUCACCUGGUUCCGGUCCAAACGGGUCGGACCGGAACAUCUGAGCUAAAUGUUCGGAUUGUUGCAGAUUUUUUGAAGGAAACUGAAGUUUCCAGUGGUGAAAACUGAACUGGAAGGUUUUCUACAUGUUUGUUGAUAUUUCUGUAUUUAUUUGUGGAAUUUGCAGGUUUUCUUGAUGUUCUGCGUUCGGUAGCUGUGUGAAAUGUUCAGGUUGUGUUUGUUAACUAGGAUGAUGCUGCAGUGGCCAGUGAUGCUGCCUUGCAGUGAGAAGGUUCUGGGUUUGAAUCCCAGCCUUAAGCAGGGGGUUCUCCCUGUGCUACAGUGUCUCUUCCUGGGUACUCCAGCUUCCUCCCACAGACUGUCUGUAAAUAUGUCUUGAAUUCCUGUGGAACCAGCCUCAGAGCGUCUGUAGCUUUUAUAUUUGACUUGUAUUAUUUAUAAAGUUGUAAUUCCCGUCA